rnacentral:rRNA from 1 species
GAUGAACGCUGGCGGCGUGCCUAAUACAUGCAAGUCGAGCGAACGGACGAGAAGCUUGCUUCUCUGAUGUUAGCGGCGGACGGGUGAGUAACACGUGGAUAACCUACCUAUAAGACUGGGAUAACUUCGGGAAACCGGAGCUAAUACCGGAUAAUAUUUUGAACCGCAUGGUUCAAAAGUGAAAGACGGUCUUGCUGUCACUUAUAGAUGGAUCCGCGCUGCAUUAGCUAGUUGGUAAGGUAACGGCUUACCAAGGCAACGAUGCAUAGCCGACCUGAGAGGGUGAUCGGCCACACUGGAACUGAGACACGGUCCAGACUCCUACGGGAGGCAGCAGUAGGGAAUCUUCCGCAAUGGGCGAAAGCCUGACGGAGCAACGCCGCGUGAGUGAUGAAGGUCUUCGGAUCGUAAAACUCUGUUAUUAGGGAAGAACAUAUGUGUAAGUAACUGUGCACAUCUUGACGGUACCUAAUCAGAAAGCCACGGCUAACUACGUGCCAGCAGCCGCGGUAAUACGUAGGUGGCAAGCGUUAUCCGGAAUUAUUGGGCGUAAAGCGCGCGUAGGCGGUUUUUUAAGUCUGAUGUGAAAGCCCACGGCUCAACCGUGGAGGGUCAUUGGAAACUGGAAAACUUGAGUGCAGAAGAGGAAAGUGGAAUUCCAUGUGUAGCGAUGAAAUGCGCAGAGAUAUGGAGGAACACCAGUGGCGAAGGCGACUUUCUGGUCUGUAACUGACGCUGAUGUGCGAAAGCGUGGGGAUCAAACAGGAUUAGAUACCCUGGUAGUCCGCGCCGUAAACGAUGAGUGCUAAGUGUUAGGGGGUUUCCGCCCCUUAGUGCUGCAGCUAACGCAUUAAGCACUCCGCCUGGGGAGUACGACCGCAAGGUUGAAACUCAAAGGAAUUGACGGGGACCCGCACAAGCGGUGGAGCAUGUGGUUUAAUUCGAAGCAACGCGAAGAACCUUACCAAAUCUUGACAUCCUUUGACAACUCUAGAGAUAGAGCCUUCCCCUUCGGGGGACAAAGUGACAGGUGGUGCAUGGUUGUCGUCAGCUCGUGUCGUGAGAUGUUGGGUUAAGUCCCGCAACGAGCGCAACCCUUAAGCUUAGUUGCCAUCAUUAAGUUGGGCACUCUAAGUUGACUGCCGGUGACAAAUCGGAGGAAGGUGGGGAUGACGUCAAAUCAUCAUGCCCCUUAUGAUUUGGGCUACACACGUGCUACAAUGGACAAUACAAAGGGCAGCGAAACCGCGAGGUCAAGCAAAUCCCAUAAAGUUGUUCUCAGUUCGGAUUGUAGUCUGCAACUCGACUACAUGAAGCUGGAAUCGCUAGUAAUCGUAGAUCAGCAUGCUACGGUGAAUACGUUCCCGGGUCU